rnacentral:lncRNA from 1 species
CAGUCAUUAUAAAAAACUGUAUAGAGGUUCUUAAAGAAGGUAAAAAUACAACUACUCUAUGACCCAAUAAUACCUCUUCUGGGCAUAUACUCAAAAGAAAUGAAAUCACCAUCUAAUAAAGAUUUCUGCACUGUUAUAUUCAUUACAGCUUUAUUUCCAAUAACCAAAAUCUGGAAACAGUUUCUGUCCAUGGAUGAAUCGGAAAAGAAACAGUGGUAUAUGCAUUUGAACAUUAUUCAAACUUAAACAGGAGGAUCCUGAAAGAUAUGCUUAGGGAACUAAGGUGAACAGAGAAAUAAAAAUAUUGCAUGAGCUCACAAAUUGUUAGCUUUCUGUCACUAAAAAUAUCUGAGAUAAAGAGAGGAAAUGUUAAUUUUGGCUCACAUUUUAGGAGGUUUCAGUCCAUUGUUAGUUGGCCUGUUGCUUUUGUACCUGUGGCGGCAGCAUAUUGUGGUGGGAGCUUGUGAUGGAAGAAGCCCUUCACCUCAUGGUAGUUGGCAGGGAGAGGAGAGGCUGGGGUUCCAAUAUCCCCUUCAAGGGCAUGCCUCCAACAACCUAAUUUCCUUGUACCAGACUAUUGUGGUUUGGAUGUGAGGUGUGUCCCCCAACAGCUCAUGUGUGAAGCAGUGCAAGAAUAGA